rnacentral:piRNA from 1 species
GCUUCUGCAAACUACCAGUUGGAGGAUC